rnacentral:lncRNA from 1 species
GACUUCUUUUUGCCCACCAGAAUCUCAGGGCCUCACUUAGCUUAGACAUAAGUUCAGAAUGUGUGAGAGAAGAUGUGGGGGGCAGAGUAGGUGUGAUUAGCUUUUGGCUUACUCCUAUGCCCCCUGCUAGCUCCACUCCCCUCUCCCCUCAGUUCCCCAGAUGGUCUCUGCUUACUUUUGGGGUCUUUUUUGAAGGUUGUUUCACUGUCUCUCUUUGUUGAUCCUUUCACUCUUGUAUUCAUUUCAUUGUGAUAUUUUAAUCUUGGUCAGAAAGGAUUUUCAUAUUGAAAUGGCAAGCUGCUGCCUUAAUUACUCCUCCAUCUUGGCUCCACUUUCAUGAAUCUAGAAAAUCAUUUUGAGAAAUCAACAUUAGACACAAAAAUUAUCUACCUUUUGGGUUUUUUUUGAAGGUUGUUUCCCUCUGUCUCUUUGUUGGUUCUUUCAAUCUUGUAUUCGUUUUGUGGUGAUCUCGUUUGGAGAAGAUUUUCAUGGUGAGAUGAUUCAUAGAUAUUUGUAUUUCCCAGACCUCAUCAAGAAGAGAAGAAAGAGGAAAUUUUGGAGAUCUACAUUCUCUGCAACAAAUAGAGAAAACACACCCAGAGGUUUUCCUUCUGGAGGCUGCUGGAGUUUAGGAGAGGAGUGAUCUCUUCCCAAUAGGCAAAUCUGAUGGACGUAACAGAAAAUACACAGUAUUUCUUGAGAAGCCUGUGGUCCAAUUCUUGAUGCCAUGGAUUCUGUGGGAAGGUUCUUGAGGAUGUGUGCUCAAUGAUGGGACUCGAAGAUUGGAGGCUUUUAGAAUAUUGCACUGCGUAUUGGCAUAGUAUGGGUAAAAACCUUUUGGUAUAUUAAAUAGGCACAGUGGUUGACAAAGGAAGGGUGUGUAUCCUAAUUAAGAAGAAGCACAAAUCCUUGGAUAUUAAGAUAUUAGGAAAAACUGCUCCAUUCUAAUCAUUGCUCUGUAUACUGUCUAAUCUAUUCUUAUCACUACUUGCUCAUGAAUUCUAUGGCCAUAGCAAUACAUGAAGUAAAGGCA